rnacentral:lncRNA from 1 species
GGAACAUGUAGGUCUGAGCAGGUGUGAUGUCAUAAUGUGUAUGGUAGCGGUGGGAACAUGUAGGUCUGAGCAGAUGUGAUGUCAUAAUGUGUAUGGUAGCGGUGGGAACAUGUUGUUCUGAGCAGGUGUGAUGUCAUAAUGUGUAUGGUAGCGGUGGGAACAUGUAGUUCUGAGCAGGUGUGAUGUCAUAAUGUGUAUGGUAGCGGUGGGAACAUGUAGUUCUGAGCAGGUGUGAUGUCAUAAUGUGUAUGGUAGCGGUGGGAACAUGUAGUUCUGAGCAAGUGUGAUGUCAUAAUGGGUUUGGUAGCGGUGGGAACAUGUAGUUCUGAGCAGGUGUGAUGUCAUAAUGUGUAUGGUAGCGGUGGGAACAUGUAGUUCUGAGCAGGUGUGAUGUCAUAAUGUGUAUGGUAGCGGUGGGAACAUGUAGUUCUGAGCAAGUGUGAUGUCAUAAUGGGUAUGGUAGCGGUGGGAACACUGCCACUGCCGCUGCCACUCUAACCUGGUGGUCCCAGCGCGCACGACCCACGUGGAGUUCCAGGUCUCCGGCAGCCUCUGGAACUGCCGGUCUGCAGCCAACAAGGCUGAGUUCAUCUCAGCCUAUGCUACCCUCCAGUCCCUAGACUUCCUGGCGCUGACGGAAACAUGGAUUACCACAGAUAACACUGCUACUCCUACUGCUCUCUCUUCAUCUGCCCACGUGUUCUCGCAUACCCCUAGAGCAUCGAGCCAGCGGGGUGGUGGCACUGUAAUCCUCAUCUCUCCCAAGUGGACAUUCUCUCUUUCUCCCCUGACCCAUCUGUCUAUCUCCUCAUUUGAAUUCCAUGCUGUCACAGUUACCAGCCCUUUCAAGCUUAACAUCCUUAUCAUUUAUCGCCCUCCAGGUUCCCUUGGAGAGUUCAUCAAUGAGCUUGACGCUUGAUAAGUUCCUUUCCUGAGGAUGGCUCACCUCUCACAGUUCUGGACCAUUUCCGGAGACCUUCUCCCCUUCCUCACCUCGCUCAUCAACUCAUCCUUGACCGCUGGCUACGUCCCUUCCGUCUUCAAGAGAGCGAGAGUUGCACCCCUUCUGAAAAAA